rnacentral:rRNA from 1 species
CAUGCAAGUUGAACGAAGCGCUUAAAUGGAUUUCUUCGGAUUGAAGUUUUUGUGACUGAGUGGCGGACGGGUGAGUAACGCGUGGGUAACCUGCCUCAUACAGGGGGAUAACAGUUAGAAAUGACUGCUAAUACCGCAUAAGCGCACAGUGCUGCAUGGCACAGUGUGAAAAACUCCGGUGGUAUGAGAUGGACCCGCGUCUGAUUAGCUAGUUGGUGGGGUAACGGCCUACCAAGGCGACGAUCAGUAGCCGGCCUGAGAGGGUGAACGGCCACAUUGGGACUGAGACACGGCCCAAACUCCUACGGGAGGCAGCAGUGGGGAAUAUUGCACAAUGGGGGAAACCCUGAUGCAGCGACGCCGCGUGAGCGAAGAAGUAUUUCGGUAUGUAAAGCUC